rnacentral:ncRNA from 1 species
GUGGAGGUAGAAGGUCCACGGAUCAUGAAUUUCUGUUCUCGAAAAAGAAGCAAUAACAAUAUUUGGGGAAUGAGCAUCGACUAACUUUGUGCCAGCAGCCGUGAUAAUAUAGAGGAUGC